AAUACCUAAUGUAAUUAACAGGAAAAUGUAUAUCAGUACACAAUAAGUUAUAUACACAUAGCCUACAAUGUAAAAAUUCUUCUGCUGAGGGGGGAGAAUGUAACGAG